UAUAGCUCAGCGGUGCAGCGCCUGCCUGGCAAGUGCGAGGCCCUGGGUUCGAUUCCCGGUA
rnacentral:tRNA from 1 species